GGACUACUGGGGUAUCUAAUCCUGUUCGCUCCCCACGCUCUCGCUCCUCAGCGUCAGUAACGGCCCAGAGACCUGCCUUCGCCAUCGGUGUUCUUCCUAAUAUCUGCGCAUUCCACCGCUACACCAGGAAUUCCAAUCCCCCCUACCGCACUCAAGCCUGCCCGUACCCACUGCACACCCAAAGUUAAGCCCCAGGAUUUCACAGCAGACGCAACAAACCGCCUACGAGCCCUUUACGCCCAAUAAAUCCGGACAACGCUCGCACCCUACGUAUUACCGCGGCUGCUGGCAC
rnacentral:rRNA from 1 species